CCUCUGAAGAGGGUUGCGCAGGCGCAUUGCUGUUCCCUAAAGGAGGAGCUGGAUCUCCAGACAGAUCCGUCUGACAGCAGAAUGAAUCAGAACCACCGAAACAUAUGAAGCAAAGAACCGUUGCAGAAACUGGCAGUGAGGAAAAUAAUCUGUGAUUGCAGGUGACAGAUGGUGGAGCCACAGAUGGGAACCAGUGGUGGACCUGCAGCCUCUGACUGACCAGCUGUGCUGAUAGACGUUCUGUUUGCACCAACGCUGCUUUAGUUACUACAGUUCACUGCAUUUGCAGUUUUUAUGUGACAUAAUUUUUACUUGAAGUAAUUGGUUUUAUAAAAAUGUUAUGAAUAUUCUUUUUUUUUAUGACUUGAACUUUAUUGAUUUUCCAACAGAAAUAUAGCCUAAUUACACACUUGGCAUAUUACAAUUUAGCAUCAGCUAAACAAAGUUAGUCCUUGUGAAUUCUUCAGGCCAACAGAAAUUACUUGAACAAAAAAUAAAUUAAAUAAAACAAAAAUAAAUACAAUAACAAAUGAAUAACAAAACAUGACUGUAAAAGUAGAGAAAAAAGGCAAGACACAGACAUGAACUGAACUUAGACAUACAUAACAUAAAAUAACAUAACACUCCCCUAUAACCCCGAUACAUUCAAAUAACUACAGCAUCACCGUAAAUUCCUCUAGUCUAAUUAUGGAAAUGCCAUUUAACCCAUGUGAGAAGUAGCAGGACCAUUUCCUGUUGUACUCCUCAACCCUGUUUAAAGGUCUAUAAGAUAAUCUCUCUAAGGCAGCAGCUGCCCCAGUGACCUAUACCAAUGAGUGAUAGACGGACCCCUCCAUUCCCUCCCCAGCAUUAGGGCUGUCAGGGCGAGAGAGAGGAAGUCAGGUGAGCCAAUAAUGAUGGAUCCCAGAGAAUAUAAAGUCUGCUGCAGAACGGUAUUUUCUGGCCAACUAUUUUUCCUACGACUUUGUGAACUGAUGACCAAUAAUCUUGGAUUUCUGGACAGUCCCAUAGCAUAUGUACCAGUGUGCCAUUAUCCUUUUGACACUUCCAACAAACCGAGGUUUCUGACAGGCCAACCCUGUAUGGAGUCCAGUAUACUAUGUAGUAUCUUAAAUUGCUCCAGUCUUGUUUUUAGUUCCCUUGAACUUUUCUUCCCAUUCCUAAGAAUUGAAAGCCAUUCCUCUUCUGUGAGACUAAGAUUUAGAUCUGUUUCCCAAGAUCUCUUAAGAGACAUAAURUUAGGAUCCAAGGCUGUCGACAACAUUCUAUAGUAAACUGAAGCUUCAUGCCCAAACACCUUCUUUAUAUCUGCCAGUGUGUUGCAGGUUACAGGAAUAAUAGUGGGGGAACCAAACGUUUUAACCAGCAAAUGUCUUAAUUGUAAAUAUCUACAGAAAUCUUGUCUGAGUAACUUAAAUUCCCCAACCAAUGUUUCAAAGGACUUCAAUGAGCCGUUCUCAUAUAAAUCGCCUAUCUCACAUAUUCCUUUCUGAAACCAGGACUUCCAAAAAAA